rnacentral:tRNA from 1 species
GAGGGUACGGCUCAGUGGUAGAGCACAUGCUUAGCAUGCACGAGGUCCUGGGUUCAAUCCCCAGUACCUCCA